AAGGAUCAUUACAGAGUUCAUGCCCUCACGGGUAGAUCUCCCACCCUUGAAUAUUAUACCUUAGUUGCUUUGGCAGGCCGGGGCAACCCCCGGGGCUUCGGCCUUGGUGUGCCUGCCAGAGGAAACAAACUCUGUUUUUAGUGAUGUCUGAGUACUAUAUAAUAGUUAAAACUUUCAACAACGGAUCUCUUGGUUCUGGCAUCGAUGAAGAACGCAGCGAAAUGCGAUAAGUAAUGUGAAUUGCAGAAUUCAGUGAAUCAUCGAAUCUUUGAACGCACAUUGCGCCCCGUGGUAUUCCGCGGGGCAUGCCUGUUCGAGCGUCAUUUCAACCCAUCAAGCUUCGGCUUGGUCUUGGGGCGUGCGAUUCCGCAGCCUCUAAACCCAGUGGCGGUGCCUCCGAGCUCUGAGCGUAGUAAUUCUUCUCGCUAUAGGGUCUCGGUGGUGUCUUGCCAGUAACCCCCAAUUUUUUACAGGUUGACCUCGGAUCAGGUAGGGAUACCCGCUGAACUUAAGCAUAUCAAUAAGCGGAGGAAAAGAAACCAACAGGGAUUACCUCAGUAACGGCGAGUGAAGCGGUAACAGCUCAAAUUUGAAAUCUGCCGCAAGGCCGAGUUGUAAUUUGUAGAAGAUGCUUUGGGUAUGGCCCCGGUCUAAGUUCGUUGGAACACGACGUCAUAGAGGGUGAGAAUCCCGUAUGUGACUGGGUGCUUUUGCCUAUGUAAAGCUCUUUCGACGAGUCGAGUUGUUUGGGAAUGCAGCUCAAAAUGGGUGGUAUAUUUCAUCUAAAGCUAAAUAUUGGCCAGAGACCGAUAGCGCACAAGUAGAGUGAUCGAAAGAUGAAAAGCACUUUGGAAAGAGAGUUAAACAGUACGUGAAAUUGUUGAAAGGGAAGCGCUUGCAACCAGACUUGCACGCUGUUGAUCAUCCAGGCUUCUGUCUGGUGCACUCGGCAGCGUUCAGGCCAGCAUCGGUUCUGGUGGUGGGAUAAAGGCCUUGGGAAUGUAGCUUCUUUCGGGGAGUGUUAUAGCCCUCGGUGCAAUGCCGCCUAUCGGGACCGAGGACCGCGCUUCGGCUAGGAUGCUGGCGUAAUGGUUGUAAGCGACC
rnacentral:rRNA from 1 species